AUUGAACGCUGGCGGCAGGCCUAACACAUGCAAGUCGAGCGUGAAAGUCCUUCGGGAUGAGUAAAGCGGCGGACGGGUGAGUAACGCGUAGGAAUCUACCUAAUAGUGGGGGAUAACGUUUCGAAAGGAACGCUAAUACUGCAUACGUUCUGAGGAAGAAAGCAGGGAGUCGCAAGACCUUGCGCUAUUAGAUGAGCCUGCGUCCGAUUAGCUAGUUGGUGGGGUAAAGGCCUACCAAGGCGACGAUCGGUAACUGGUCUGAGAGGAUGAUCAGUCACACUGGAACUGAGACACGGUCCAGACUCCUACGGGAGGCAGCAGUGGGGAAUAUUGGACAAUGGGGGGCAACCCUGAUCCAGCCAUGCCGCGUGUGUGAAGAAGGCCUCGGUU
rnacentral:rRNA from 1 species